GAGUGUAUUUAGGGUUGCACAGUACUGAGCCAGUGCUGCAGUCACCUCUCUUGGCAUAAGCAUCUCUGCUUCCAACAGCUCUGCUUGUCUUGUGAGAGCAAAAAAUGAACUGGGAUUACUACUUCAGAAGAGCCCAAAAGAAGUUUUCCAUUUACUUGGAUUCUCUAAGUAAAGACAGAGAAUUUAUCAGUUCUAUCUGUUUCAGUGGAUGGGACACUGAAAAGCAUAACUCAGCUACUGCUUGUGCAGCAUCUCUCGGGACCUCAAUACCACCAGCUUCCCUCAACUGAAGGAAAAUUGCUGACCUUAGCAGUGAAGGGAAAAGUUUACUCUUCUCCCCACCUUAAUCAAGUGCUUUGUGCUUCUGAAUUUGAUCUGAUCUUACAGAUGCUUCUGCAGCUGGUGUUCUCUCCAUGUCUUUGCUGGAGGCACAACUUUAUUCCAGCUGCUUUCCAGAGAUGUGUGGAUGUAUUCCUGAAAUGUGAAGGCUGUGGCUCUGAGAAUUCGUGGGCCACCCUGGCUUCUAAUGUGUAUAGUCCAAGGAGCAAAGCAGAGGGGAGCUAUAAGGAAGAUUGAUAGAGAGAUGCUCUGCCUCUACAGAUAGAAUGCUGAUGGAG